GGGCUUGUGGUCUAGUGGUAUGAUUCUCCCUUAGCAUGGCUGGUCAAUCAAUAAGAUCAAUUGCUUGGGAGAGGUCCGGGGUUCAAUUCCCCGCGAGUCCA